AGAGCGAACGCUGGCGGCGUGCUUAACACAUGCAAGUCGAGUGCGCGCCUGUAGCAAUACAGGUGGCGCACGGCGCACGGGUGCGUAACACGUGGGCAAUCUGCCCUUCGAUGGGGAAUAACCCCGGGAAACCGGGCUAAUUCCGCAUAAUAUUCCGAUGACUAACGUCAAUGGAUUCAAAGCCGUAAGGCGUCGAAGGAGGAGCCCGCGCACGAUUAGCUAGUUGGUGAGGUAACGGCUCACCAAGGCUAUGAUCGUUAGCU
rnacentral:rRNA from 1 species